ensembl:lncRNA
AGUCAGCGUGGAGGGAGGACUUCAAUGCCAUUCGAACCGUGUAGGCUGGCAAACCAAAGAGGCCAACUCUAAAGUUCAAGAUUCAUGCUGUGAAGAAGUUUCAAACCUAUAUGAGCCCCUUGGGAACUACACUCUUUUAAAUCUUUCGGAAGCUCUUUGACCUCACUGUUCAAGCUUUCAGAGGGAUAAAAGGGCUGUUCUGCAACACUUCUAUUGAAUGAGAAUCUCACCUCACCAUCUAUUUUGGCGCUAUAGGAAUUCCAGCUCAGAUCUGAGAG